rnacentral:lncRNA from 1 species
CCCGUGCGCCUGCUAAAGCGCAGCCUGACCGAAGCCAGGUGGGGAGACCGCGGGUGGAACCCGGGCUUUGCGCUCCGCCUGCAGCGCAUGCUCCGAGGCUUCGGUCUGGGCGGGUCCUCCAGCCCCAGCGGGUCUCCAGGGAGGCUCCACGGAUUGGUCCAGCUGCUCGAGCCACGCCCGCCACCCGGAUGGGCAGCGUCUUACCUGCCCGGGUCACAACCUACCUGGCCUGGUGGCCUUGAUAACCAGGGGCGUGGCGGGCGAUUUCUCAGGCCACCUCCCGAUCAAGUUUCUGGAGACUUUUUUGGAAAAAAAUUGGAAUUGCGACCCACCUCGACAAAAAGCCUUGGCCUAAAGCUAGUUUUAAAGCGGAAGGGCGAAAAUACCUAGUUUAGAGGGCAAAACACCUCCCUUGUGGGCUUAAUGAGCAGGCCUGGCACAUUUGGAGCUCAGGCAUGCAGUUGGAGCUCAGUAAAUACUUGCUGGAAUGGAUUGUUUUCUUUUUCUCUGAGAUGAGUCCAAAGGAUGUAAUGCUGAACGAGCCUGCCAGGUUGAGAGAUUUUUUUUUUUAAUUCUUUAAGUUUUUUUGUUUUUGUUUUUGUUUUUUUAGUUUUUGGUUACAUGUGUGGGCCUGUGCACCUGAGAGUGCUGGCCAGAGGCUUCGGACUUUUAUUAUUAUUAUUAUUAUUAUUAUUAUUAUUAUUAUUAUUACUACACAUCAGAUUUUUUUCUCCUCUGUGAAAAGCUGGGUUGGCCUAGACAUUUCUCAGAGUGGGGCAGGCCAGCCAUACCCUGCUUUUUGUGGGGAAACCAUCACUGUUUUUUGUCUGACGGUCCACGCUCUGCUGGAGAUGGCAGUCACCUUAAACGAACUGAGAUACCGGUCUGAAUCGUGAAGCCCUCUGAACUCAACUGUCUAAGAUGUCAAGGACAAGACAAACUGGACCCCAGCUGUGUCACAACAGUUCUAGUGGAUCUGGUUCAUCAGUCUGCAAAGAAAGUUCUCUCCAGGAGCAUCGCUCUCUGGAACAACUGCACCACCACCCUCGCCUCUCAGUUCAGCAGCCACCACAAGUUCCGAAAACCUUCUACACACUACAUAGACUGUCUCAAGAGAGGGCAAGGGACACUCGAAUUUGGGGCAGAAUUACACGCAGCUGCUGAGAAGUGCAGGGGAGAGUGGCUGGAAUCUCCCGUGGGGGUCAGUUAGUGUCCCACCCCUUUCUCCCAUGAGGAAAGGUCGGUGAUUGCAAGACCCCCCUCUUGAUAGUCCUUGGGAACAGUUGCAGCUGCUCUGAUGAG